rnacentral:rRNA from 1 species
UACAGAGGUCUCAAGCGUUGUUCGGAUUCAUUGGGCGUAAAGGGUGCGUAGGUGGCGGGGUUAGUCAGGUGUGAAAUCUCGGAGCUCAACUCCGAAACUGCACUUGAUACUGCCUUGCUAGAGUACUGGAGAGGAGAUUGGAAUUUACGGUGUAGCAGUGAAAUGCGUAGAUAUCGUAAGGAAGACCAGUGGCGAAGGCGAAUCUCUGGACAGUUACUGACACUGAGGCACGAAGGCCAGGGGAGCAAACAGG